GACGAACGCUGACGGCGGGCUUAACACAUGCAAGUCGAAGGGAGUGGCGAACGGGAGAGUAACACGUGAGUAACCUGCCCUUUUCUUUGGGAUAAGCCUGGGAAACUGGGACUAAUACUGGAUGGCUUGGGAUGGGCUCGCGGCUUAUCAGCUUGUUGGUGGGGUUAUGGCUUACCAAGGCUUUGACGGGUAGCAGGCCUGAGAGGGUGGUCGGUCACACUGGUACUGAGAUAGGGCCCAGAGUACUCAGGGAGGCAGCAGUGGGGGAUAUUGCACAAUGGACGAUAGUGUGAUGCAGCGACGACGUGGGGGGGAUGAAGGCUUUCGGGUAGUAAACUCCUUUCGCCCGCGGAAUGGUAGUGGGUAAAGAAGCGCCGGCUAACUACGUGACAGCAGCCGCGGUAAUUC
rnacentral:rRNA from 1 species